CGCCGAGUCACCCACGUAGCCUCCGGCUGGGUCGAUACCGUGUUCAUCGCUGAUCACUUCCCAAAACUUGAGAAGGGCAAGGCGGGGGAACAGAAGGGGCCACGGAAAGGCAGGCCAAUUCAGCAGAACGAACUAAGCCCUCUCUGGGGACUUGGAGACAACUCUGCCUAUGCAAGUCAUGGCUCCGUAUUUCUUUUAUAACAUGGUACAGCCCUGACCUCUCUCUGAACUCCAGUCCUCCCGCUUCCCCAUGUUUUCUGAACAGUCCCUCCUGGGCACCUGCUCCCUUCUCACCUUCCAGCAGAUUCCCAUUGGACAUGACAUCACCAGACAGGAAAUGUUCAUGUGACCUCCCCGUAUGACUUGGUGACUGCUAGCUAAAUGAUGCCAUUGUCUGAGCCAUGGUCUGACA